AUGCUGGAGAAGAAAUAUGGAGGUUACUUCGUAAGUAGACGAGCAGCACGUACCAUCCAGACAGCAUUCCGUCAAUAUCGUAUGAACAAGAACUUUGAGCGCCUGCGCAGCUCAGCUUCUGAGAGCCGCAUGACACGGCGCAUCAUCCUUUCCAACAUGCGACUGCAGUACUCUCACAGUCCAGGAAUGGGUCCUCCGCAUUCUCCAACCUGCACCACAGAGCCAAGCUCCCCAUCACAACCGGAAUACACCCACCUAGAGGACUCCUUCUCAAAACAAGUCAGGACACUAAAGCAUAAUCCUAAUGCUCGUUCGACAUCCUCGACAGCUGCACAAGGUCAAACACGUCCAGCUAGCCGAUCGAUACCGUCGCAUAUCCCACACCACAUGGCUCACCAUCAUCACCAUCACCACCACCAUCAUCAUCACCAGUACCCUGACACCCCUUCGUCCUCCUCCUCUCCUCAACAGCCCCCAACCACACCGCUCUCAUCCUCCUCUUCAGCACCACUGCCUCCUGGUGGCUUGGAGCAGCAAUGCUGCUCGGAUGGUGAUAAUGACUCACUGAAUUCCACCACAAACUCUAAUGAGACCAUUAAUUGCAGCUCAGGCUCCUCUUCAAGGGAUAGUCUGCGGGAGCCCUUGCCCCCAUUAGGGAAACAGACCUACCAGAGAGAAAGUCGGCACAGCUGGGACUCUCCUGCCUUUAACACUGACGUAGUGCAAAGAAGACAAUAUCGCAUCGGACUCAACCUCUUCAACAAGAAACCAGAAAAGGGUAUUCAGUACCUAAUUGAGAAGGGCUUUGUGUCAGACACGCCAGUGGGCAUUGCUCGCUUUAUCCUGGAGAGAAAAGGCCUGAGUCGGCAGAUGAUUGGAGAGUUCCUUGGAAAUAGACAGAAACAGUUCAACAAAGAUGUAUUGGAUUGUGUUGUGGAUGAAAUGGACUUUUCCGGAAUGGAUCUUGAUGAUGCUCUGAGGAAAUUUCAAGCUCAGAUAAAAGUCCAAGGAGAGGCUCAAAAAGUGGAAAGACUUAUUGAGGCUUUCAGUCAGAGGUACUGUGUUUGUAAUCCAGCACUGGUAAGACAGUUCCAGAACCCAGACACCAUCUUCAUCCUAGCUUUUGCCAUCAUCCUCCUCAACACAGACAUGUACAGCCCCAAUAUCAAAGCAGAGAGGAAGAUGAAGCUGGACGACUUCAUCAAAAACUUAAGAGGGGUGGAUAAUGGGCAGGACAUCCCACGUGACUUACUGGUUGGAAUCUACCAGCGCAUUCAGAAAUGGGAACUGAGAACCAAUGAUGACCAUGUUUCUCAGGUCCAGGCGGUGGAGAGAGUAAUAGUGGGCAAGAAACCAGUUCUGUCUCUGCCCCACCGCAGACUAGUGUGCUGUUGUCAGCUCUAUGAAGUCCCAGACCCCAACCGUCCUCAAAGGUCUGGAGUUCACCAGAGAGAGGUCUUCCUCUUCAACGAUCUGAUUGUGGUUACAAAGAUCUUCCAGAAGAAGAAAACCUCUGUAACGUACAGUUUCAGGCAGUCCUUCCCUCUGGUGGAGAUGCAGGUUCACAUGUUCCAGAACUCCUACUAUCCUCAUGGUGUCAGACUAACAUCAGCUAUCCCAGGUGGUGAGCGUAAAGUUUUGAUUGUGUUCAUGGCCCCUAGUCAACAGGACCGCACACGCUUUGUCAGUGAUCUGAGAGAGAGCAUUGCUGAGGUCCAGGAAAUGGAGAAAUACAGAGUGGAGUCUGAGCUGGAGAAGCAGAAAGGAGUAAUGCGGCCCAGCCUGCUCACCAACAGCAUUAUGGCUGGAGGAGUGGGUGGGGUCAAGAAUGAAGUGGUGAAUGGCACUAUGGGAAGGCCUAGUCUGGAUGACAACUAUUCACCAGGAGAGGGCCUCAAACGUACUGCUCUCAGCUCCUCCCUGAGGGACCUGUCUGAAUCAGGUGAGACACUUUGCUGUGAUUGGCAACCAAUUUAUUUAUGAUAAUUUAGUACCAUUCUACAUUGGGGCAAAUAUAAAAAAAAGAAAUCGUAUAAUUUGCAAAAUGUAUAUUAUGGGGUUAUAUUUUGAGGUUAGAAACAAUCUCAACAUUUGUGGACACAAACAAGAAAGUAAGAUUUCUAUUAACACUGACCGCCAUUACACUCACCCACACACAUACACACACAAUGCAGUUGUGACUGACAUCUGCUAACUGGGUAACAGGGAAAC
ensembl:lncRNA